rnacentral:rRNA from 1 species
UUGGGACUGAGACACGGCCCAGACUCCUACGGGAGGCAGCAGUGGGGAAUAUUGCGCAAUGGGGGCAACCCUGACGCAGCAACGCCGCGUGAAGGAUGAAGGUUUUCGGAUUGUAAACUUCUUUUAUUAAGGACGAAAAAUGACGGUACUUAAUGAAUAAGCUCCGGCUAACUACGUGCCAGCAGCCGCGGUAAUACGUAGGGAGCAAGCGUUGUCCGGAUUUACUGGGUGUAAAGGGUGCGUAGGCGGAUUGGCAAGUCAGAAGUGAAAUCCAUGGGCUUAACCCAUGAACUGCUUUUGAAACUGUUAGUCUUGAGUGAAGUAGAGGUAGGCGGAAUUCCCGGUGUAGCGGUGAAAUGCGUAGAGAUCGGGAGGAACACCAGUGGCGAAGGCGGCCUACUGGGCUUUAACUGACGCUGAGGCACGAAAGUGUGGGUAGCAAACAGGAUUAGAUACCCUGGUAGUCCACACUGUAAACGAUGAUUACUAGGUGUGGGGGGUCUAACCCCCUCCGUGCCGGAGUUAACACAAUAAGUAAUCCACCUGGGGAGUACGACCGCAAGGUUGAAACUCAAAGGAAUUGACGGGGGCCCGCACAAGCAGUGGAGUAUGUGGUUUAAUUCGACGCAACGCGAAGAACCUUACCAAGUCUUGACAUCCUGCGACGAUGCUGGAAACAGUAUUUUCCUUCGGGACGCAGAGACAGGUGGUGCAUGGUUGUCGUCAGCUCGUGUCGUGAGAUGUUGGGUUAAGU